UUAUUUAUUUAUUCAUGAGAGAGACAGAGAGAGAGGCAGAGACACAGGCAGAGGAAGAAGCAGGCUCCAUGCAGGGAACCCAACGUGAGCCUCGAUCCCGGGGCUCCAGGAUCAUGCCCUGGACUGAGGGCAGGAGCUAUAAACCACUGAGUAACCCAGGCUGCCCAAUAUAAAAUACUCUUAAUAACAACUCUUAAACUUUUAUAUGUACUUAUUACACAAUUCCUCUAUUUACUGCAGGCAUCAAUGGAUGAAUAUAUCUCAGGAUGCAUAUAGAGUUUUGAUGAAUUACCCAUUUCCUUUUCAAAUCAUGUGUUGUCACUCAGGACUCAACCAUAGUUACCGCAUAGAUCGUGCAGAGGACUUCUUCCACUAGGCUGCUGGUUUCUAUCUAAGAACAACCACUGUGGAGGAAAGGAUCAUUGAAUUAACUGGAAUUAUGAAUUAUUGCUGCUUUGCUCACCUCCCUGUUAAUUUCAGGUUUUAUUUGAAUGAUUUUUGUUUGUUUGAAUGUUGCAGCCAUGAAGUAAGUGUAAGCAAUUGACUUCUUUUCUGCACCUUUGUAGUUAAGGGUUCAUCUUCUCAAGAAAUAAAGUUGUGGAUUACUCCCA